rnacentral:rRNA from 1 species
UACGAAGGGUGCAAGCGUUAAUCGGAAUUACUGGGCGUAAAGCGCGUGUAGGUGGUUCGUUAAGUUGGAUGUGAAAGCCCCGGGCUCAACCUGGGAACUGCAUCCAAAACUGGCGGGCUAGAGUACGGUAGAGGGUGGUGGAAUUUCCUGUGUAGCGGUGAAAUGCGUAGAUAUAGGAAGGAACGCCAGUGGCGAAGGCGAACUCCUGGACUGUUACUGACACUGAGGUGCGAAAGCGUGGGGAGCAAACAGG